UACGUAGGUGGCAAGCGUUGUCCGGAUUUACUGGGCGUAAAGAGCGCGCAGGCGGUCGGAUAAGUCGAAUGUGAAAGCCCCCGGCUCAACUGGGGAGGGUCAUUCGAUACUGUUCGACUCGAAGGCAGGAGAGGGAAGUGGAAUUCCCGGUGUAGUGGUGAAAUGCGUAGAUAUCGGGAGGAACACCAGUGGCGAAGGCGACUUCCUGGCCUGUUCUUGACGCUGAGGAGCGAAAGCGUGGGGAGCGAACAGG
rnacentral:rRNA from 1 species